rnacentral:rRNA from 1 species
UACGUAGGGUGCGAGCGUUAAUCGGAAUUACUGGGCGUAAAGCGUGCGCAGGCGGUUCGCUAAGACCGAUGUGAAAUCCCCGGGCUUAACCUGGGAACUGCAUUGGUGACUGGCGGGCUAGAGUAUGGCAGAGGGGGGUAGAAUUCCACGUGUAGCAGUGAAAUGCGUAGAGAUGUGGAGGAACACCGAUGGCGAAGGCAGCCCCCUGGGCUAACACUGACGCUCAUGCACGAAAGCGUGGGGAGCAAACAGG